rnacentral:rRNA from 1 species
UCCUACGGGAGGCAGCAGUGGGAAUCUUGCGCAAUGGGGGAAACCCUGACGCAGCGACGCCGCGUGGGUGAUGAAGGCCUUCGGGUCGUAAAGCCCUGUCAGGUGGGAGGAAACAUGUGAAUGUAAACAACAUUGACAUUUGACGGUACCACCGGAGGAAGCACCGGCUAACUCCGUGCCAGCAGCCGCGGUAAUACGGAGGGUGCAAGCGUUGUUCGGAAUUAUUGGGCGUAAAGCGCGUGUAGGCGGUCGAGUAAGUCAGAUGUGAAAGCCUUCCGUUCAACGGAAGAAGUGCAUUUGAAACUGCUUGACUAGAGUACGGGAGAGGAGAGUGGAAUUCCCGGUGUAGAGGUGAAAUUCGUAGAUAUCGGGAGGAACACCAGUGGCGAAGGCGGCUCUCUGGUCCGAUACUGACGCUGAGGCGCGAAAGCGUGGGGAGCAAACAGGAUUAGAUACCCGGGUAGUCCAAGCCG